GUUGUCAAAUUCCUCUCGCUCUUCCACCAGUUUAAGCCUUUCCUUACGGGGAGGGGAAGAGAUAUCAUCUGUUCCCAAUCCGCUUCCACUCUGUUGAACUGGAGAAAGAAGCAGUUCUGGACCGGACGGAACUUCCACUGGGCCCACUUCACCAACCCUAUUGUUGAUGUCAAGGAACCCAGGAGACUCAUGACUUCUCUUGCAGGUGCAGUUUCGAGAUCUUGCAGCUUCCUUACUUUGUCUCUGAUCUUCG